AUUGAACGCUGGCGGUAUGCUUAACACAUGCAAGUCGAACGGUAGCAGGCCUUCGGGCGCUGACGAGUGGCGGACGGGUGAGUAACGCGUAGGAAUCUGCCUCAUAGUGGGGGACAACGUGGGGAAACUCACGCUAAUACCGCAUACGCCCUACGGGGGAAAGCGGGGGAUCUUCGGACCUCGCGCUAUGAGAUGAGCCUGCGUUAGAUUAGCUAGUUGGUAGGGUAAAGGCCUACCAAGGCGACGAUCUAUAGCUGGUCUGAGAGGACGAUCAGCCACACUGGGACUGAGACACGGCCCAGACUCCUACGGGAGGCAGCAGUGGGGAAUAUUGGACAAUGGGCGCAAGCCUGAUCCAGCAAUACCGCGUCGUGUGAAGAAGGCCUUAGGGUUGUAAAGCACUUUCAAUUGGGAGGAAAACCUGUCGGUCAAUACCCGGCAGCUUGACAUUACCUUAGUAAGAAGCACCGGCUAACUCCGUAGCCAGCAGCCGCGGUAAU
rnacentral:rRNA from 1 species